rnacentral:rRNA from 1 species
UACGUAGGUGGCAAGCGUUGUCCGGAAUUAUUGGGCGUAAAGCGCGCGCAGGUGGUUUCUUUAAGUCUGAUGUGAAAGCCCACGGCUCAACCGUGGAGGGUCAUUGGAAACUGGGGAACUUGAGUGCAGAAGAGGAAAGUGGAAUUCCAAGUGUAGCGGUGAAAUGCGUAGAGAUUUGGAGGAACACCAGUGGCGAAGGCGACUUUCUGGUCUGUAACUGACACUGAGGCGCGAAAGCGUGGGAGCGAACAGG